GCCAUGUUUUCUUGGCAGUUUAGUACACUUGAAUCUGAAGCGGAUCCAGCCCAGGUUUCAUUUAAGAUUCAACUACUCUCAGCCAAACUCUUGCCUCACAAAAGCUAGAAGUGGUGGUAGGCCUCGGUUUGGAUACGCGCCCAAUACUAUUGUAAUAAAACCAUCUUUUGCAGUGCUUAGACCUCUGCAUUUUCCUGGGUCCCUGAAGAAGAUCACUGUCUUUUCCUGGAUUGGAAAAAGGACUGCAUUUUUCUCUUAAAAGGCUUUGUAAAGAAUCCACAGCUGGGGCAAAGGAAGAAAAGAAUUGAACUCACCUCCAAGGUGAAUAGCUCCCUCUUGUGAAAGCUGUUAGAAGCACACUGGAAAAAAUAUGGUUGGUCUAUUCAGAGCUGCAAAACCUUGUGCAGUGGCACAAAUGCAGCUGAAAGGAAAUGGAUGGAACAAGAAGUGACAACAAAGCAAUAAACAGCAGGUGAGCUCAGAAGAUUCUCGCAGAGGAAGAUGAAGGAGAAGGAAGGAAGGAAGAGAAGGAGAAAACUCCUGCCAUAUCUGUAUGGAGCGAGCUUGCUUCAGAAGCAAAUUCAGCAAACAGCUGGAAUCUUCCAAGAACCAGGACCCCUGGAUAUUCAGUCUGGAUCAAAGCUCUAAGCUAUUAAAAAUUACAGACAGAGGAGAGGAAAGGAAGCAGGGGCUCUAGGUCUUGGCCAGAAAACUUUCAUAAGGUUUUUAAUUCAGCUCCCUAACUACGUGGAAUAGCUUUUACAUAAACAGAAGGAUCUUGGCUUUCUGCUAGGGGAAGCCUAGUGCCCCAGAAGUGGAUCUGGCUGCUGGAUGAAAGCUGUAGUGCCUUCAGAUCACAGGAUGCACCUUACAGUCCGAUGGUCAUUGAUUCCUUCCCCAUCCCCCUUCAAGCAGCUAAAAUAGAAGUAAAAAUAGAGAAGUAAAAGCAGGGAAUCUUACCAGUUCUCUGACACCAUAUUGUUUCUCCACUUUGACCUUUAAGUGCCUGAAACACUCCUCCAUACGCUCAUGGAAAGGACGAAGGCUAUCUGAAACCCUCCUCUCAUGGAUCUUAAUUCCAGCUCCAAGAAAUGGAAUCUGGGAAGGAACAGCAGGAAGAAGUUUAGCCACGUUAUCUCCCUGAUCUACAGAAUGUGUAAAAAAAAUCCUGCCGCAAUAUAGCCAAGAAUGGUAACAU